rfam:Culex pipiens quinquefasciatus supercont3.30 genomic scaffold, whole genome shotgun sequence.
GGGACGGUGGUGUAGGGGUAAGCGUGGUUGUCUCUCACCCAAUCGGCUUUGGUUCGAUCCCAGACGGUCCCG